rnacentral:lncRNA from 1 species
AGUAUUUGCAAAGGGACAUUUUAAAGCCCAUUGAGGCCUAUGUUGAAACAUUAUAUCCCCAGAUAAAAACUAAAAAGAAGCUAUCUGUGAAACUGCUCUGUUAUAUGUGCAUUCUUCCCACAGAGGUUGGAAACAAUCUUUUUGAAGAUUCUGUGACAAUUUGGGAGCUCAUACUGGCUUAUAGUGAAAAACAGAUUACCCCACAUAAAACAAGAAAGAAGCUAUCUCUGAAACUGCUUUCUGGUUUGUGGACUCAACUCACAGAUUUAAAACAUCCCUUUUACUAAGCAGAUUGGAAGCACUCUUUUUGUAGAAUCUACAUAGAGACAUUUGGGAGCCCAUUGUGGCCUUUAGAGAAAUACUGAAUAUCCCCAGAUAAAAACUACAAUGAAGCUAUCAGUGAAACUGCUUUGUGAUUUGUGGAUUCAUCUCAUGGUGUUAAACAUUACUUUGAAUUCAGCACAUUGGAAAUACUCUUUCUGUAGAAUCUGCAAAAGAACAUUUGGAGCCCAUGGUGGCUUACUGUGAGAAACUGAAUAUCCCCAGGUAAAAACUAGAAAGAAGUUAUCUGUUUAACUGCUUUGGGAUAUGUGGAUUCAUCUCACAGAUGUAAAACUUUCUUUUGACUCAGCAUACUGGAAACACUCUAUUCCUAGAUGUUGCAAAGUGACAUUUGAGAGUCCAUUGAGGACUGUAUUGAAAAUUUAAAUAACUGUAGAUAAAAGCUACAAAGAAGAUAUCUGUGAAACUUGUAUGUUAUGCGUGGAUUCAUCUCACAUACUUAAAACUUUCUUCUGAUUCAGCACAUUGGAAACACGCUAUUUUUUGAACCUUUAAAGAAACAUUUGGGAGCACAUGGAAACACUCUAUUUUUUGAAUCUUUAAAGGAAUAUUUGGGAGCACACUGAGGCCUAUGGUGAAAAACCGAAAAUUUCCUGAUCAAAACUAGAAAAAAGCUAUCUGUGAAACAGUUUCGUAUCGUGUGGAGUCAUCUCCUAGAGUUAAACCUUUGUUUUGAUUCAGUAGGUUAUAAAUACCCUCUUUGUAGAAUCUGUGAAGUGACAUUUGGAGCCCAUUGAGGCCUACCUAUGAUGAAAAACAGAAUAUCCAAAGAUAAAAACUAGAAAGAAGCAAUAUGUGUAACUGCUUUGUGAUGUGUGGAUUCAUCUCACAGAGUUGAAACUUUCUUUUGAUUCACCAGGCUUGAGACACUCUUUUUGUAAAAUCUGUGAAAAUAUAUUUUGGAGCCCAUAGAGGCCUAUGGUAAAAAUUGGAACAUCUUCAGAUAAAAACUAGAAAGAACCUAUCGGUAUAACUGCUUUGUGAUGUGUGGAUUCAUCUCAAAUAGUUCAACCUUUCUUUUGAUUCAGCAGAUUGGAAACACUCUUUUUGAGAUUCUACGUAGGGACACUUGGGAACCCAUUGAGGCCUAUGGUGAAAAACCUAUUAUCCCAAAAUAAAAACCAGAAAGAAGCUAUUUGUGAAAGUGCUAUGUAAUGUUUUGAUUCAUUGUACAGAGUUAAACUUCUCAUUUGGCUUCUCUUUUGAUUCAGCAAGUUGGAGACAAUUUUUUGAAAACAUUCUGUCAAGGGACAUAUUGGAGCCCAUUGAUGACUUUGAUGAAAAACUGAAUAUCUCCAGAUAAAAACUGGAAAGAAACUAUCUGUAAAACUGCUUUGUGAUGUGUGGAUUCAUCCCACAGAGUUAAAGUUUUCUGUUGAUUCAGCAGGUUGGGAAGACUCCUUUUGUAGAAUCUGUAAAGGGAGAUUUUGGAGCCCAUGAAGACCUACAGUGAAAAACAGAACAUCCCCAGGUUUGAAACACACAUUUUGCAGAAUCUUCAAAAAGACAAUUGGGAGCCCCUUGAUGUCUAUGGUGAAAAAACAAAUAUUCCAAGAGAAAAACUAGAAGGAAGCUCUCUGUGAAAUGGCUUAGUGAUGUGUGGAUUCAUUUCACAGAGUUACACCUUUCCCUUGAUUCAGCAGGUGGGAACACUC